AGCUCAGGAUGAACGCUAGCGGCAGGCCUAAUACAUGCAAGUCGGACGGGAUUUAGGAGCUUGCUUCUAAUGAGAGUGGCGCACGGGUGCGUAACACGUAUGUAACCUACCUUAGUCAGGGGGAUAGCCUCUCGAAAGAGAGAUUAAGACCGCAUAAAAUCACAAUGUGGCAUCACAAAAUGAUCAAAUAUUUAUAGGACUAAGAUGGGCAUGCGGAACAUUAGCUAGUUGGUAAGGUAACGGCUUACCAAGGCUACGAUGUUUAGGGGAUCUGAGAGGAUGACCCCCCACACUGGUACUGAGACACGGACCAGACUCCUACGGGAGGCAGCAGUAGGGAAUAUUGGGCAAUGGACGGAAGUCUGACCCAGCCAUGCCGCGUGCAGGAAGAAGGCCUUACGGGUUGUAAACUGCUUUUACAGGGGAAUAAAACACUCCUGCGGAGAAA
rnacentral:rRNA from 1 species